GCUGAAAUGUUUAACAACUGUCUCCCUGGGAGAAGAGCCUCAUGUCACUAGAAGCUACAGUAUUGGACAGCACAGCUGCAGAGUGUCUGUUCUUUGAGGAUUCUCUGUUCUCCAAAUGUAAAAUCAAGAAUGAGAACGCUGGCAGAAGUAAGGAAAGAUGAGACCUGUUUUGAAAACGAAGUUUUAGAGGAACUAUGUGAACAGAUUGUGUUCUUCAGGGGCCUGGCACAUGAUGACAUCUAACACCCAUGGCCAACAGCAUUCAUAAUCACCAAUACGCAGCAUCAUACUCUGUCUACUGGCAAUUCCCAGAGAUCCAAGAAAUAUGUAAAACACUGGCUAGAAAGUGUUCUUGUGGCACGAGGCGGUGCUCAUCAGGUGGCUUUAGGGUGCACUGGUCACCUGUUACGUGCAGGUCUCCUGGAGGACCUGAGUCCCUGCCCCAGCUCAGCCCACACCACCUCUGUCACCCUGAGACUUAUAACCAGGCCAGGCGCGAUGGCUCAUGCCUAUAAUCUCAGCACGAUGGGAGGCCGAGGCGAGUGGAUCACUUGAGGUCAGGAGUUCAAGACCAGCCUAGCCAACAUCUCUACUAAAAAUAUACAAAAAUUAGCUGGGCGUGGUGGUACACGACUGUAGUCCCAGCUACUUGGGAGACUGAGGCAGGCGAAUUGCUUGAACCCGGGAGGUGGAGGUUGCAGUGAGCUGAGAUCGCGCCACUGCACUCCAGUCUGAGUGACGGAGCAAGACCCCAGCUCAAAAAAAAAAAAAAGGCCAUUGAGUCCCUGUCUCUUCAGUAGUACUCUCCUUAAGGUCAUUGGGAGGAUUAAAUGAGAUAGUGUAAUGUACAUUAAAGUCAUUUAUAAAUAUUUCUAAAUGAUUUAUAAAUUAUUUCUAAAACCAAAAUAGCCCAGACCUCACCAGACGCAGCCUGUGAGUGGCAACAAGUCACACUGACAUUCGUGCUGAAUUAUAAUGAUGGGCUACUUAAGAAGGAAUGCUUGUGGCUGCCCUGAGUCUAAAUACAAAAGCCGCCUUGCCUUUGGAAGCAAGGUAGAGGUGGGAAGACUGGCCCUAUCACCACCCAAUGCUGCGCAUGUCGUCUAGAUUCCCAAAGCUGCAAGCUUGCAAACUAGGUGCUUUGGUUUGGGCUCUGGAGAAACCCCUCCAGCCAGUGUGAACCUGUAUGAGUGUUGGGGGGUGGGGAGGGGGAGCAAAAUAGAUGGGACUUUAUGCCUUCCCCUUCUAUUUUCUUUAUCCGCCCUCCACCAUCUCUCUCCCAGGCCAGACACAAAAUUCUUCUCUUCUUCUGCUCAAAAACCGAACUCUCCCAAGCAUUCACUUCUGCAAGCAGUUACCUGAAGGAGUCACCAUCUAUAAACAGCUCCUGUCUGAAUGGCAUUGAGGCACAAUAGGGCACCCUGCCACAGAGAUAUACAGGGUUAUCAUGCCCACCUCCUGACUCACUCCUUUCUCAUUUGAUCCUGAGAAACAGGAAGUAAAAGGCCACAAUAAUUGGAAAUGACCUGACUUCCCAUCCAUUUAACACUGAGUCACCGAGUCCUUAGGUGCUCUCCUCAGUUAAAGUUUUACCAUGAUGACUUUUGCUGUUGUUGCUGCUUCAUUUUGAUUGGUGAAUGAAAUGGCUCCCCCAAAACCUUAAGUAAGUUCUUGAGUGAUGUGUGUAUGGUUGCUUGUUUUAAAAUCAGUGUUAUUAUUUGAUUAUAAAUUCUUCUAUGAAAGAAGUUGAAAGGAAGACUCCAGGCAAGAGACCCACGGAGUUAUUUAAGGAUUAUAGACUUAUUUUCAAGGCAGUUAUGCUAAAUUAUGGAUGAUGCACUCCCUGGAAGACAAUGUGAGCCUCUCUAGAAAAGGCAAGUGUUUCUCUUUUAGGUAAGUUGACAAUUUAUGUCUGCCCUCCGGUGACUUUAAAAUCACACAAAAGACUAUUCUAUUUAUUAAUUGUCAAGAAUUUUUUUAAAGCUCCCAGGGCUAAAUUAUAUAUGUCCCCUUCCAACCAGGAUAAUUAAAUAAUAGAAUACAGUAUAUCGGGUCCUGGUGGGGUGGACAGCAGAGCUGCCGACCAAACACGCUGGGACCUCACUUGGCCUGAGAACUAUCCGAGAGCACUUUUUUUUUUCUUUUAAAACCCAGUUUAGGAGGCUCAUUUACGAGCCUAUGCAAAUCAGACAUUCCUCAGUGUUUGCUUCUGAAUUAUUCAUUUGUAUCCCUCAUCCUACUACUCAGGAAACAGAACAAGAAUUUACCAAAUAAUAACUUGAAUGAAGUUGUCUGUCCCAAUGCCCAAGACAUCGCACAAAAUUUGAAGUUUUCUCCAGGGGCAUGGGUGUGUCAGGGUGUGAACUUAUAAAUGAUUCUCUCUUGCACAAAACAUGUAAUUAGAAAUUCCAUAUCAGAUAUGCCUACUUCAGAUGGUGCAACCAAAAAGAAUCAUAAUGACAUUUGUAUUAAAAUGUAACAAAUAAUCUAUUAUGAAUCUUGCUUCUCUUUUUCAUAAUUGCCCACCAUUUACAAAAUGCGUGUCUAGGCAAAUCAAGCUCCUCAACAGAGUAUUAAAAAGUAUAGGCUUUACUUGUUUUAUAAAGCCAAGCCAUAACUGUAACAGCUAGUAAUAACAGCUGCCAUUUUAUAGAACACUGGCUUACUAUUCACAGGGCACCGUCCUUGCAUUUUACACUCACGAUCUCAUUUAACCUCCUGCCAACCCUCGAAGUAGGUACUGUUAUUUUGUCUGUUUUACAGAUGGGGAAACCAAGGCUCAGAAAGGUCAAGCAACCUGCUCAGGUUGACCAAUAGUAAAGUCUGGAUAGGGCACUUACAUAGAGUUGCGUAAGUCACUCACUGCCCCAAAGGCACUGGCAGCCAAAGGAAUAAAUAGAGGCCAAAAUCCAGCCUGUGUUUCACUUGCCCAGCCACAUGCUGGCAGGGCUGCACCCACUAGAGGGGACACCUUCCUCUAACAUGAACAAAGGCACUAAAUGGGCUAGCAGCAGCCGUGGGGCUGGAACCCGGCAUCAAACCCACUGAGCUGAUUCCACAGCCCCUGUGCUUCACACUAGACUGACUACCUUGCCACAUACAUUUUCCUACCUCAGAGGGGCCCAUAAAGGUCACACACUAUUCCAUUAUUUUCUACUGGCUGGGCUUGGGGAUGGGCAUAGGAGGAGGUUGAGUUUAUCCCCAAAAGGAAGGGGAUAGAUACCCUGUAACUCUGGAGUAGCCUGGUUUUCUGUUUUAGUGUGAAGGGUAGUGACUGGGAGCAGCAGCAGAGCAUUGUCCCAUAAACUGCCGGUGACCUGACCCUUGGGAGGUUUUCCUGGCCUGCUUUAUGGAGCUCACCCAACUGUGAGAGUCAAAGUGGUGCUGAUGAGUGGCUGCAGAGGCGCUGAUGAGAGAAAACACUCCAAUACAAAAAGCCAACAGACAGGAAUCCUCACGCUGGCUCCACCACUCACUGUCAUUUGACCUUUGAUUGGUCACUUAGCCUCAGUGACUUCUAUUUUCCAUCUGAAAAUGCAGACAAUGAUAACAGAUGCCCCUAAAGUCUUCAAGGGAACAGUGCUCAGAAGUAACCCUAGGAAACAUUUUGAAGCAGGCAUUUAUCUUUGGUGCUUAUGUCACCUGUCCAUCUCUUUCUGCUUCAUUUCUUCCCAUCCCACCCCCACCCAGCAUUCCCCUCUUCCCUAAUCUUCCUAUGCGGAGAGAGGAGUCAGCCGAUAAAACCAAUUAGCAAUAUAGAUGUUAGGGAUUAAAAGUAUUCACUUUCCCAAAGCCAUCUUUAUCCCAAAGAGAAGGCAAGGAAGGCUUUGCCCAAAGAUCCAAUGGCAGUUGGGUGAAUUUUUGUGGCAGAUGCGGGUUUUGUUUCUUUCUGGAGCCUGUAAAUUACAUAAAGUAAGCAACGAAGGAUUGGGCUGUCCUGGGACAACUUUGUAAAUUAGUUUUUUAAAAAAGAAAAUCACACAUAUAUAUAUAUCAGCUUGGUAGAAUAUUGCAUAAUUAUUAUAAAUGGUCAUUUACAAAGAUUAUGAGGCAACAGCAGGGACAACUCCCAAGUAUAAUACCCGGAGCACAUGCCCUGAGUACCACUCCCAGGUGUAAUGUGACACUAUUUAAAGAAGCAGGGGCCCAAAACAUGCGUCAGCUCUGAGACACAGCUACAUAAAAAUUACACGCGUAAAUAAACAGAGAGAGCCUGGAACGUACUAUAGAAAAGUGAAAACAAAUUAUUGGUUGAAGUGAUGGAACAGUGAGUGAUUUUUCAACUUUCAGUCAAUGUUACAACAGUGUAAAAUAAAUUUAGAAAUGCUAAAAAAGAAAAAAUCAUUAAAAAUUUAUAGAAAAUUGAUAGCAUAGGUAAAUGAAUUCUCUAUUGUCAUAAUUUCAGAAUGGUUAUAUAUAUAUAUAUAUAUUUUUUUUUUUAACUUAGUAUAAGAUAUUUUAGCUGGGCAUGGUGGCACACACCUGUAGUUUCAGCUACUUAGGAGGUUGAAAUGGGAGGAUCACUUGAGGUCAGGAGUUUGAGGCCAACCUGGGCAACAUAGCAAGGCUUCUCUCCAAAAAAUAAAAAGUAAAAAAGGAAUUUUAACAUUUAACAUUUCCGUGAAGCUCAGUAUUGUUUUUGCCAAUAUAAACACGCUAUGUCAUCAACCCAAUGCUUGAGAGUCUUUAUAUUAAGAUGUCAUGUUUAUCUGAAAACAAUUUGUCAAGGUUCUUUUAAAAAGGAAAACUAGUCAAAAAUAUAGGACAACAUUGUGGUGAUUCUGAGGACAGAGAAUAGCAUGAGGCACCUUUAUACCUGAGGACAAAUCAGAGGUAUGUGCUUUGUAAAUGUUCACCAAAUAGAUGAGUGAGUCAUUUUCCAGAAGUGUUCAGAUGAAUCUAAAAUCUCCUUUAAUCUAAUUACCACCUUCGCAGGGGUUUCUGAAUGAAUACUCACAGAUACCUGUUAGGUGGAGAGCUAAUGAUCAUGUCAUUCCCAUCUCCCACAUAACAGAUACGAUGUUUCAUGUUAAUGUGAUUUUUGUUCUAAUUCAAAGGAAAAAUUAAAACAGAAAUUUCACACACUGCAACUAGCUUUGCGCUUGAUCAGCUUUAAAGAUUUUUUUCACACGCAUACCUUAGAGUCUGUGACCUUCUUAAGCUACCCUCCUGUUCUUCACCCUUAAAAAGCAAAUCUGUUGAAUCACAGACUGCCAAAGCUAGAAGGAACUUUAUCAGUCAUUUGGCUUAUUUUACAGAUGAGAAGAAUGGAAGCUCAGAAGCUGAAACAACUUGCCCAAGGUCACACAACAGGUUAGGAGCAAAAUCAGGAUGAUUUGUUUUCUUUGGACACUUAUCCUGCUCUAAGAUCUGCCUAUCCAUGACAUACAUUUAAAUUAAUGGACUCUCCCACUCCAACUACAAGAGUAAUUUGUGCUUGCUACAUGAAAUAUUAAAAUAUAAAAAUUAUUCAUAAUUCUACCACCCAGAGAUAACCACCAUUAACACGUAUGUAUCUUUCUGGGCCCUUAGUCACUGCAGAUGGACAGGAGCACGGGAUAACAAGUGUGCAGGGGACUGGGGGACGUGACAUGGCUGAGCUCUGGUCAAGGCAGGAUUCCUGCACCACAUGCUUCUGCUCCUUUGGCUUCCCUCCUGGGGCAGCCUUGGCACAUGGAGCCCAGGGUAGUCUAUGAGAGGGACUUACAUCAUGUCCACACCAGCCAUAUCCAUCUUGGGUAUAUCCACCCAUCUCCAGAACCAUGAGGAAAUAAAUUUUUCUUGUUUAUGCUACCCACUCUGUGGUAUUGUCUUAUGGCAGCCCAAGCUGACAAAUAGAUUUUGGUACCAUGAAGAGGGGUGCUGCUAUAAUAAAUACCUAAACAUGUAAAGUGGCUUUGUAGCUGGGUAAUGGGUAGAAGCUGCAAGUCUGAGAUGAGGUCACCCACGUGAUUGAGUCCUAGUAAGGGCUCUCUUCUGGGCCUGCGGUCGGCCGCCUUCUCACUGGGCUCUCACAUGGCCUUUGCUUGGAGAGAGAUCUCUCUCUUUCCCUCUCCUCAUAAAGGCACUAAUCCCAUCAGAAGGACCCCACCGUCAUGAUCUCAUCUAAACUUAAGUACUUCCUAAAGACCCUGUCUCCAAAUACCAUUGUAUUGGCGG
rnacentral:lncRNA from 10 species